rnacentral:rRNA from 1 species
GACGCACGCUGGCGGCGUGCUUAACACAUGCAAGUCGAACGAGCGGCGAACGGGCUAGUAAUUCGUGGGUAACCUGCCCUCUUUUCGGGAUAAGCCUUGUAAACGGGGUCUAAUACCGACUAAAGGGGGAUGGGCUCGCGGUCUAUGAGCUUGUUGGUGGGGUGAUGGCCUACCAAGGCGGUGACGGGUAGCCGGCCUGAGAGGGUGACCGACCACAGUGGGACUGAGAGACGGCACAGACGACUACAGGAGGCAGCAGUGGGGGGUAUUGAACAAUGGGCGAAAGGCUGAUGCAACGACGCCGCGUGGGGGAUGGAGGCUUUCGGGUUGUAAACCUCUGUCGCUAUCGAAGGGUAGGAGGAGAAGAAGCGCCGGCUAACUACGUGCCAGCAGCCGCGGUAAUAC